UGAGCAAUCUGCCCUUCUCUUCGGAAUAAGCGUUGGAAACGACGUCUAAUGCCGAAUACGACCUCCUUUCGCAUGAUCGGAGGUGGAAAGCUCCGGCGGAGAAGGAUGAGCUCGCGGCCUAUCAGCUAGUUGGUGUGGGUAAUGGCCCACCAAGGCGACGACGGGUAGCCGGCCUGAGAGGGUGACCGGCCACACGUGGGACUGAGCACGGCCAGACUCGACGGGAGNAGCG
rnacentral:rRNA from 1 species